CGGGAUAUUUAGAAAAUAGUA
rnacentral:tRNA from 4 species